rnacentral:rRNA from 1 species
AGGACGAACGCUGGCGGCGUGCUUAACACAUGCAAGUCGAGCGGAAAGGCCCUUCGGGGUACUCGAGCGGCGAACGGGUGAGUAACACGUGGGCAACCUGCCCCUAGCUCUGGGAUAACUCCGGGAAACCGGGGCUAAUACCGGAUACGAUCUUCCAUGGCAUCUCGGAAGAUGGAAAGUUUUUUCGGCUAGGGAUGGGCCCGCGGCCUAUCAGCUUGUUGGUGAGGUAACGGCCCACCAAGGCGACGACGGGU